GAGAGAGCAAGCCCAAACCUGAAAAAUUGCUAGUUUUUUAGGCCCGCAGUUGAAAUCCGCGGCUCACUCG
rnacentral:tRNA from 1 species